rnacentral:lncRNA from 1 species
CUGUCCUGCCUGGGACACCAUUCCAGACCUUUCCCAAUCCCAUUCCCGACCUUUCCCAAUCCCAUUCCCGACCUUUCCCAAUCCCAUUCCAGACCUUUCCCAAUCCCAUUCCAGACCUUUCCCAAUCCCAUUCCAGACCCUUCCCAAUCCCAUUCCAGACCUUUCCCAAUCCCAUUCCCGACCUUUCCCAAUCCCAUUCCAGACCUUUCCCAAUCCCAUUCCAGACCUUUCCCAAUCCCAUUCCAGACCCUUCCCAAUCCCAUUCCAGACCCUUCCCAAUCCCAUUCCCGGAGCCGGCCCCAUAGGCACUGGCUGCUGGGGCUGGUUCCAGUUGGGAAGUGAACUGGAUGAUGGACCCAGGUAGGCAAACCCUAUUGGGGCUCCUUAACUCCCAUAUCCUGCCCUGUCAUUCCCGAGGCUGAUUCCAAUGGGAUGAGG